GACGAACGCUGGCGGCGUGCUUAACACAUGCAAGUCGAACGGAAAGGCCCUGCUUUUGUGGGGUGCUCGAGUGGCGAACGGGUGAGUAACACGUGAGUAACCUGCCCUUGACUUUGGGAUAACUUCAGGAAACUGGGGCUAAUACCGGAUAGGAGCUCCUGCUGCAUGGUGGGGGUUGGAAAGUUCCGGCGGUUGGGGAUGGACUCGCGGCUUAUCAGCUUGUUGGUGGGGUAGUGGCUUACCAAGGCUUUGACGGGUAGCCGGCCUGAGAGGGUGACCGGCCACAUUGGGACUGAGAUACGGCCCAGACUCCUACGGGAGGCAGCAGUGGGGAAUAUUGCACAAUGGGCGGAAGCCUGAUGCAGCAACGCCGCGUGCGGGAUGACGGCCUUCGGGUUGUAAACCGCUUUCGCCUGUGACGAAGCGUGAGUGAAGGUAAUGGGUAAAGAAGCACCGGCUAACUACGUG
rnacentral:rRNA from 1 species